GCCGGGGUGGUGGAAUGGCAGACACGUACGUUUAAGGGGCGUAUACUUAACGGUGUGCGGGUUCAACUCCCGCCCUCGGCA
rnacentral:tRNA from 1 species